GACGGAGGAUGCAAGUGUUAUCCGGAAUCACUGGGCGUAAAGCGUCUGUAGGUGGUCAAAUAAGUCAACUGUUAAAUCUUGAGGCUCAACCUCAAAAUCGCAGUCGAAACUAUUAGACUAGAGUAUAGUAGGGUAAAGGGAAUUUCCAGUGGAGCGGUGAAAUGCGUAGAUAUUGGAAAGAACACCGAUGGCGAAGGCACUUUACUGGGCUAUUACUAACACUCAGAGACGAAAGCUAGGGUAGCAAAUGGG
rnacentral:rRNA from 1 species